rnacentral:rRNA from 1 species
AAAUGAGCACACACCAUUAUGGAACCGACUGCAAUAGAUGAAACUAGGUGAAUAUACUAAUCGCGUGCAAUAGCUCUCGAUGCCAAAAAAGUGAUUCUACCCUAUCAACUGUCAAUCGUAGUGUAGAGGACUACGAUGGUUGUAACGGGUAACGGGGAAUUAGGGUUCGAUUCCGGAGAGGGAGCCUGAGAAAUGGCUACCACUUCUAAGGGAGGCAGCAGGCGCGUAAAUUACGCCAUCACAAUUCGUGGACGUAGUGACCAGAAAUACCGGUGUAGUGUCUUAAUGGCACUUCUAUCGGAAUGAGAACAGCUUAAAAUCCUUAACGAGGAACAAUUGGAGGGCAAGUCUUGGUGCCAGCAGCCGCGGUAAUUCCAGCUCCAAAAGUGUAUACACAAGUUGUUGCGGUUAAAAAGCUCGUAGUUGAACCGUAAACGUUUGCAUGGGUUCGAUGCCCCUCACGAAACGUGUGGGGAGUUACGUCGUUCCUAUGUCAAUCAAAAAAAUGGGAUACGAAGUACGUCGACUUUCGGGAAGACGUGUUAAGAUCUUGAGUUUACUUUGAAAAAAUUAGGGUGUUCAAAGCAGGCUAUUAGCCGGAAUACAUUAGCAUGGUAUAAUAAAAGACGACUCUCAGCCGUACUUUUGUUGGUGACGGGUUUUACCCGAGUAAUGAUUAAAAGGGACAGUCGAGGUCGAUCGUAUUCAUUGGCGAGAGGUGAAAUUCUAUGACCCUUUGAAGACGAACUAAGGCGAAGGCAUUCGACAAGGAUGUAUUCAUUAAUCAAGAACGAAAGUUGUGGGAGCGAAGAUGAUCAGAUACCAUCGUAGUCACAACCGUAAAUUGUGUCGACUCAGGAUCGCGAAAAGUUACAUGGAUGACUUUUGCAGCACUGUACGAGAAAUCAUAAGUAUUCGGACUCCGGGGGGAGUAUGGUCGCAAGGCUGAAACUUAAAGGAAUUGACGGAAGCGCACCACCAGAGGUGGAACCUGCGGCUUAAUUCGACCCAACACGGGAAAACUCACCCAGUCCGGAUGUAACUAGGAUUGACAGAUUGAUAGCUCUUUCUUGAUCUUACAGAAGCCGGUGCAUGGCCGAUUUUAGUUGGUGGAGUGAUUUGUCUGGUUAAUUCCGAUAACGAACGAGACCUUAAUCUGUUAACUAGGGUCCUACAUCUACGAAUUUCUCCCGUUAAACGGAGGUUUUCGAAAUAACUGUAGCGACACUUCUUAGAGAAACUACUUGUAAAAAAUCAAGAGGGAGUUUAA